rnacentral:lncRNA from 1 species
AAGGUCAUGGCUCUUAGCAUCAUUGUUGAGAACUCCCAGUUUCUCUCCCAGAAGAGAAUGGGAACUUCUCAGGGGAUGGUGAGAGAGAAACAGUAACUGCUGACCCUGGUAGUGACUUGAAGACGGACUGAUUCUCCUCCCUGCUCCAUUUCCAGAAGCCAUGAUCCAGCUGUGAAGGCCCAGUCACUCCAACUACGUGGGCCGCUGAAAAUCCAGUUUCAACCUGCUUCUCUUUCCCUCUCUUCUCCAGUUCAACCCCAUCCUUCAAAAACUCACCUAAUUCCUCUGGGAAUUAGUCUCUUCCCCCAGGGUCACCAAUUCUGCUUGCUAAUCUCCUGCACCCCUCUGAUCCCCUUCUUGCUUUCCUUCCUCCUACCCAGGCUUUCCUGGCAAAGGCCAACAAAAUAACAAAGACUAGGGAAUAAGUAAACAGCAGCCUCCCCUCGCUUGGGAGUCCCUGGAAGCGCUUCCUUCAUUCACACCGAUGAGCCUCGGGAUUUCAAAGUGCCUGGCACUGCUUCAAGGCCAGUUACAGCGGCCACGGAGUCAUUGUAUUGAGAUGAAGGUGGAUCCAGGCGGUUUCUAUUUUUAGGUUCGAUUGUUUCUGGAAAAGGUUGCACAUCACAUAAUAGGAAAUCCCAAGAGUGUGAAGACUGUUUCCUGCCAGUGGAAGCCUUGUUGUGGUUGGCUGUUCUGACCAUAGAGACACUGAGAAAAAUCUCAGGAUUAACAGUUGAGGCCCAUCAUCAAGGUAACUCCACCUGAAAUUCUCUUUUCACUCCGGGAUCCCCAAGACCUGGGGAUUCGCAAGCCUUCUGAUAGCCAACCUUGCUGACCCAAGGUUCCCAGAAGUACUUUCCACCCUGCAGAAUCCUGACGUGAAUAGCUACACUUGAAAGAAAAUAGCAGUCCUCACUCCUGCCGUUGAGACCCUGUUGACUGACUGGGCUGGCUUGGUCAGAUUAUCUUUGUCUCAGCAGAUUUUCACUUGGCCAACAGACACCAUCAAGGAAUCACCUAAGGACUGCAAACUGCACUAGAAGCCGUUACAGAAGAGAGUGUGUUAUCCUUUGCCACUGCACCUCCUCCAGCUUCCGUUCCACUCUCUACCCCACACACAGGCUGAAACUCUAAGUCAAAAGGAAACUUCCUGGCAUAGGGAACAAAAUGGAUAUCUAUAAUGCCAAUUGACAUACCCGAAAAGUGGGCCCAGAUUUGUCAACUGACUGAAGAUGAAAAUUCUGUUGAACCUCAACUCUACAGAUCGCUGGGCAACUUAUCGGGUCUCUCACUGAAGCUGGGGCUCAAUCAUAGGCUAGACUGACUGGCCAGCAAACCUCAAGGAUCUAUCUCCC